UUGAUUAUUCUGCUGUUUGUUUGAGCAAGAUCACGUGCACUGAUGAUAUCUGGCUCAUGGUCAAGGUGUACAGCAGACAAGCCAGUUUCUGACAAGCCAAUAGAUCUCCCUCCAUCCUACACAUAUUGAACUAAGAGAAAAAAUCCAGAGUGAACACAUAGAUCAGAUAAGUACCCUUUGUCAGUACAGACAAUGGUAUUUUAAUUAAAUAUAGGAACAUAUGGUCCUGCCCCAGAUGAUCAAGUCUAAAGGAAGGAAGCAUAAUCUAAUCAAAGUCAGGCCCAAAGAGUUUCAAGGGAAGAAUUAUUUUUUAUCAGUGCCCCCUCUCUUCUGGGACUGAGCCAGUUGUCUUUAUUAUUGUAGAAUCAACAUAUUGUACAUUAUUAAGCAGUCUUCACUCAGUACUGCAUAUAUAGUAAGUAUUUCUGCGACAAACUGAGUUAAAGGGUACAACUUAUACACUGUAAGCCCGAACAGUACUACUAGCUUAUAAAGACUGAGGUCGCUACAGUUAAAAUCUCUUGCUGAGUUAAUCCACCUUUAAACUAUUAAUGUCUAUAAACAAAUAUGUAUUUUUGUAUUUACAUGGCUCAGCAUUUCUGAGUGAACACCGCUGGUUCACUCAAUAUUUUUAAGUGUACUGUCGAUCACGUGAUAUGACGUCAUGACGUGCCAUCCUAACUGACGUUACCUGAAAAAUCUAUCCAAGAUGGCUACCCUCUCGAGCAAUGUGGUGUCUAUGCGUGGUAUCAAGCAUUAAACUUUAAGGUUGAAGUGGAAGAACUACAGAAAAGUGCAUCCUCCAAAAUCAAGUGCUUCACUGGUUGGGGGGUCAUCCCUUGUCUGGAUCAGUUAUUUUAUGCAGUCAGCAGUGAAUUCAUGGACACUGAAGACUUUGAUCGAUUUUUUGCAAAACCUACAUUGUCACCAGAGUUCAACUUUAUCG